rnacentral:rRNA from 1 species
ACGUAGGGGGCAAGCGUUGUCCGGAUUUACUGGGCGUAAAGAGCGCGUAGGCGGAAGCUUAAGUGUGGCCUGAAAGCCCCCGGCUCAACCGGGGAAGGUGGCUGCAAACUGGGCUUCUUGAGGGGGAUAGGGGAAAGUGGAAUUCCGGGUGUAGCGGUGAAAUGCGUAGAGAUCCGGAGGAACACCAGUGGCGAAGGCGGCUUUCUGGGUCCGCCCUGACGCUGAGGCGCGAAAGCGUGGGGAGCGAACGGGA